UCAACUGAUCAGCUUUGGGUGUGUGUA
rnacentral:sRNA from 1 species